rnacentral:rRNA from 1 species
AUGAACGCGAGGGGCUACCGAAGCACCAGAACUGCUCUCUUCGAUGGCAUUGAAGAAGGCGGAAUCCGAGCAUCAGCUUAUUCCUCACAUGAGAUAGAUGAGCAUGAGAAUGAGCGAGCUAUGGAUGGAUUGCAAGAUCGAGUCAGCAUUCUCAAGAGGAUAUCAGGUGAUAUAAAUGAAGAGGUGGAGGCUCAUAACCGAAUGCUGGACAGAAUGGGGAAUGACAUGGAUUCAUCAAGGGGGUUUCUCUCUGGAACAGUGGACAAAUUCAAGACAGUGUUUGAGACCAAGUCGAGCAGGAGGAUGGGGACACUCGUGGCGUCAUUCGUCGCGCUCUUCAUGCUAGUGUACUACCUGACCAGGUAG